rnacentral:rRNA from 1 species
UACGUAGGGUGCGAGCGUUAAUCGGAAUUACUGGGCGUAAAGCGUGCGCAGGCGGUUCGCUGUGUCCGAUGUGAAAGCCCGGGGCUCAACCCCGGGUCGGCCGUGGCAACUGCUGGGCUGGAGCACUGUAGAGGCAGGUGGAAUUCCGGGUGUAGCGGUGGAAUGCGUAGAGAUCCGGAAGAACACCGGUGGCGAAGGCGGCCUGCUGGGCAGUAGCUGACGCUGAUGCGCGACAGCGUGGGGAGCAAACAGG